ACAGUAUAUAGAGCUGGUUACUUUUGUAUAUGUAAAAUUUAAUGUCCAAAAAAUUUGUUAACAAGGACAACUGAAACCUCAGCAUGUCAAGACAUACAUAUUAUUAAUAUUCAAACCAUAUAGAGUCACCACAUAGGGUUUUAGAUAAAUAUUCAAACCAUAUAGAGUCAAGACAUAGGGUUUUAUAUAAAUAUUCAAACCAUAUAGAGUCAACACAUAGGGUUUUAGAUAAAUAUUCAAACCAUAUAGAGUCAACACAUAGGGUUUUAGAUAAAUAUUCAAACCAUAUAGAGUCAAGACAUAGGGUUUUAGAUAAAUAUUCAAACCAUAUAGAGUCACCACAUAGGUUUUUAGAUAAAUAUUCAAACCAUAUAGAGUCUACACAUAGGGUUUUAUAUAAAUAUUCAAGCCAUAUAGAGUCACCACAUAUGGUUUUAGAUAAAUAUUUUAAGCCAUAUAGAGUCAACACAUAUGGUUUUAGAUAAAUAUUCAAGCCAUAUAGAGUCAACACAUAGGUUUUUAGAUAAAUAUUCAAACCAUAUAGAGUCAACACAUAGGGUUUUAUAUAAAUAUUCAAACCAUAUAGAGUCAACACAUAUGGUUUUAGAUAAAUAUUCAAACCAUAUAGAGUCACCACAUAGGAUUUUAUAUAAAUAUUCAAACCAUAUAGAGUCAACACAUAUGGUUUUAGAUAAAUAUUCAAGCCAUAUAGAGUCAACACAUAGGAUUUUAUAUAAAUAUUCAAACCAUAUAGAGUCAACACAUAGGGUUUUAGAUAAAUAUUCAAACCAGAUAGAGUCAACACAUAGGGUUUUAGAUAAAUAUUCAAACCAUAUAGAGUCACCACAUAGGUUUUUAGAUAAAUAUUCAAGCCAUAUAGAGUCAAGACAUAGGGUUUUAGAUAAAUAUUCAAACCAUAUAGAGUCAACACAUAGGGUUUUAUAUAAAUAUUCAAGCCAUAUAGAGUCAACACAUAGGGUUUUAUAUAAAUAUUCAAACCAUAUAGAGUCAACACAUAGGGUUUUAU
rnacentral:lncRNA from 1 species